AUACGUAGGUGGCAAGCGUUGUCCGGAAUUAUUGGGCGUAAAGCGCGCGCAGGUGGUUCCUUAAGUCUGAUGUGAAAGCCCCCGGCUCAACCGGGGAGGGUCAUUGGAAACUGGGGAACUUGAGUGCAGAAGAGGAUAGUGGAAUUCCAAGUGUAGCGGUGAAAUGCGUAGAGAUUUGGAGGAACACCAGUGGCGAAGGCGACUGUCGGGUCUGUAACUGACACUGAGGCGCGAAAGCGUGGGGAGCAAACAGGAUUAGAUACCCGCGUAGUCCACGCCGUAAACGAUGAGUGCUAAGUGUUGGGGGGUUUCCGCCCCUCAGUGCUGCAGCUAACGCAUUAAGCACUCCGCCUGGGGAGUACGGUCGCAAGACUGAAACUCAAAUGAAUUGACGGGG
rnacentral:rRNA from 1 species